UACGAACUGUGCAAACGUUAUUCGGAAUCACUGGGCUUAAAGGGUGCGUAGGCGGCUUGUUAAGUAGGGUGUGAAAUCCCCCGGCUCAACCGGGGAAUUGCGCCCUAAACUGGCGAGCUGGAGUGAGAUAGGGGUGUGUGGAACUUCCAGUGGAGCGGUGAAAUGUGUUGAUAUUGGAAGGAACGCCAGUGGCGAAAGCGACACACUGGGUCUCAACUGACGCUGAGGCACGAAAGCGUGGGGAGCAAACAGG
rnacentral:rRNA from 1 species